rnacentral:lncRNA from 1 species
CCUUUCUUGAAUUUCUUUUUCUAACUAGGAAACCAAUUUUGUAUGCAUAUCUCUUGUGAAACUCGAACAUUUCAUUUGUAUCCUUAAAUUUCAUACCGACCUCGAGCACAAUCACUCCAUCUCCAACUAAUAUAUCAUCAUUGAUAAAAGUGUAACAUACCAUAUUUUGUCCUCUUAAUUAUUGCAUUCAUGUGAUUAUAUUAUACCAAAAUACAUCAUUACUCUUAUGUUUUGGUUUAGGUUGCAUUUUGGUGAAAACGGUGAAAUUUGGAAGAAAUGAGUGAAAAAAGACCAAAGUGAAAGAGAACGAAAGUUCAUGGACCAAGUUGCAAAUAAAUCAUAGAUGAGAUGGACGAUAGAAUGAUGAUUCGAGAAUGCUAGGAGUCAAUUGAAUGCAAUUAGAAGUCAAAAGAAGUUAAAUAUGAGCAUAACAUCUUCACAUAUCAAUUCCCAAUCGAAAAUGUUACGCAUCGAUUUCAACCUCAUAUUGGGGUUCAUUUUUUACACGGAAGAUUAUCGAAUUUGAAGAUGGUCUCUGAAGAAAAGUUGUAGUCCUUUGAGUUAUUUCCAACUCAUCUUGAAUCACCUCAUUCGAAUAUUGGGAAAAAAAGUUAUGGCCAAAAUACCAAAAGUUGUUCGGCUGAGAAAACCAUGCGGCCGCCCACACUGUUACCGAAACUUGGAGGGCUAAAAACUUCAUAACCCUGCGACCGCAAGGGUUAUAACCAUGCACAACCGCAUGGACUUUUUCUGUGACGAAAAUUUUGCUUUCCUUAAUCGACUCAAACACUUAUGGUAACAAAUUUUCACAUGACUUUUAAGCCCUAAACUCUACAGAAAACGCCACCAUUCAUCCUCGAUCACUUUUCUCUCAUCCUUGACACAAGAAACUCCAUGAAGAACUAAAAUCUUUGGUGAAGCCACGAAGGAACUCAUUGGAUUUGGAGAUUUCACGUCAUAAUUUCAUGUAAUCCAAACUUUCUUUGCUUAAUAAUUUCUCGAUUUGGAUUUUCUCGUUAUGAAUUAGUACUGAAAUUUUUUUAACUUUUACUAAAUUUCUCAUGGAUUCAGUCGUGCUUUUUCCAUUGUUAAAUUAAACUAUUUGUUGAGUUUCAAUUUAAAUUACUUAUUGUUAAGAUUAUUUUAACUUUUAUCAAAUCCUUCAUAGAUCAAACCAUGCUCUUUCUAUUGAAUGAUUGAAAUAAUUGUUGAAUUUUAAUCUUAAUAUUACUUUAUUGGCGGAUUGAUUACUGCCUUAUGCUUGACGUAUAUGGUCGAUCUUUGAU